AUGGGCUCCUGGCUCUUGGGCUGUGUGCUCCUUUGUCUCCUGAGAGCAGGUGGCCCAGAAACACAGGUGACCCAGAGACCCAGACACUUCAUCGCCAAGGCUGGAAAGAGCCUGACAGUGACUUGCUCUCAGAAUGUGAACUAUGACGUUAUGUACUGGUAUCGACAAGACCCAGGGCUGGGCCUGAAGCUGAUCUACCAUUCAAUUAAUGUUGACUUCAUUGAAAAGGGAGAGAUUUCUGAUGGAUAUAGCGUCUCUUGAAAAGAGAAAAAGCAUUUUCCUCUGACGGUGGACAAGGCCAAUGCCAGCCAGACCUCCAUGUACCUCUGUGCCAUCAGUUUAUCCACAGCACAGCACUUUGGAGAGGGGACUCGACUCUCUGUCUUAGAAAACCUGAACAGGGUGAGCCCACCCAGAGUGGCCGUGUUUGAGCCAUCAGAGGCAGAGAUUGGCCAGAAAAAGAAGGCCACGCUCGUGUGCCUGGCCACGGGCUUCUACCCCGACCACGUGGAGCUGAGCUGGUGGGUGAAUGAUAAGGAGACCCGCAGCGGGGUGAGCACGGACCCUCAGCCCUACAGGGAGUUUCCUGACAACGAAAACUCCAGCUACUGCCUCAGCAGCCGCCUGAGGGUCUCGGCCGCCUUCUGGCACAACCCCCGCAACCACUUCCGCUGCCAAGUCCAGUUCUAUGGGCUCACAAAAGACGACCCCUGGGACCAGACGGACCGGGCCAAACCUGUCACCCAGAACGUCAGUGCUGAAGUUUGGGGCCGAGCAGACUGUGGCUUCACCUCUGUGUCCUAUCAACAAGGGGUCCUGUCUGCCACCAUCCUCUAUGAGAUCCUGGUGGGCAAGGCCACCCUGUAUGCUGUGCUUGUCAGUGCCCUCGUGUUGAUGGCCAUGGUCAAGAAAAAGCAUGCCUGAAGACCCCCUUGGCUGAAGAAGCAGAACCUUCCCACUCAUUAUGGUGCCCACACGGGUUCCCCUGCUGCAUGUCUUCUGAACAGCUGCUUUCAUUUCUCUAUGCAUCCUAAUCCUGCUCCAACAGCUGCGUACACCUGCCUGCAUGUUCAUGGCUGAAAUAGCCCUGUCCCGGGGAACCCUAGAUGGCGGACUCAAUAAACAUGUCCUGGU